rnacentral:rRNA from 1 species
CUACGGGGGGCAGCAGUCGAGGAUAUUUAGCAAUGCCCGAAAGGGUGACUAUGCGACGCCGCGUGUGCGAUGAAGGUCUUCGGAUCGUAAAGCACUGUCAGCUGAGAUGAAUCUCGGGGGCUUUAACAAAGCCGCCGGGUGACAGUACCAGCAGAGGAAGCCACGGCUAACUCCGUGCCAGCAGCCGCGGUAAUACGGAGGUGGCAGGCGUUACUCGGAUUGAUUGGGUGUAAAGGGUAUGUAGGCGGUGCGCUAAGUCGAAUGUGAAAUCCCUUGGCUUAACCAAGGAACUGCAUUCGAUACUGGCGUCUUGAGUGUUGGAGAGGAAAGCGGAAUUCCCGGUGUAACAGUGAAAUGUGUAGAUAUCGGGAGGAACACCAGCGGCGAAGGCGGCUUUCUGGACAACAACUGACGCUGAAAUACGAGAGCAUGGGUAGCAAACAGGAUUAGAUACCCGGGUAGUC